CUACGGGUGGCACCAGUGGGGAAUAUUGCACAAUGGAGGAAACUCUGAUGCAGCAACGCCGCGUGGAGGAUGACACUUUUCGGAGCGUAAACUCCUUUUAUAUAGGAAGAAGAUGACGGUACUAUAUGAAUAAGCGCCGGCUAACUCCGUGCCAGCAGCCGCGGUAAUACGGAGGGCGCAAGCGUUACUCGGAAUCACUGGGCGUAAAGAGCGUGUAGGCGGAUUAAAAAGUCAGAAGUGAAAUCCUAUAGCUUAACUAUAGAACUGCUUCUGAAAACUCUUAAUCUAGAAUAUGGGAGAGGUAGAUGGAAUUUCUGGUGUAGGGGUAAAAUCCGUAGAGAUCAGAAGGAAUACCGAUUGCGAAGGCGAUCUACUAGAACAUUAUUGACGCUGAGACGCGGAAGCGUGGGGAGCAAACAGGAUUAGAUACCCGAGUAGUC
rnacentral:rRNA from 1 species